rnacentral:lncRNA from 1 species
ACAACAACAAUAUCGCCCACCGGGUAGACACAUGAACAGGUAAAUCAAGAAACUCCUAGGGCGCACCCAAAUAAUGAGCAAAAUAUGAUGACACAUAAGAAUAGGUGGAACCGAGAUCAAAUAAUACAGAGGCAUCUCUAUGGCAGAUUGAAACAAUACCUGUAAUGAUAGCAUCUAAAGCAAUGACAUUUGUCCUGCCUAGAAUAGCAUAGAAAUGAGCCUGGCCACAGCCUGAUCGACCUCCCCCUAUGGGGCGACCCAUUGCUUCCUGACAUCUACCCCUAGCUGGCUGGGUGGUUGGUGAAGUAACUGGAGCAAAAGUCGAUGGCUGACCCCUCUGCUGAAACUGACCAUCACGAAGUUGAUGGCACUACCUCCUCAUAUGCCCAAACUCUCCUCACUCAUAUCAACUCCCAGGUGCUGGAGAAGGGGACUGAAGGGAACCUCUCAAACCGGAGUGACUAGCAGAUACACUCGGCGCAGAAGAACCCUGAGCUGAUGGGGCACGAGAUGAACUCUGAGCUGGGAGGGCAGUGAGUGUAGACUGGCCCUGCUGAGAACCAUGAUGACCACGACCUGAAGAUGCCCCACGAUACUCUGGACGGGCUGAUUGAGCAGUACUGAAAGAUCGACCUCUACCAUGCUGGAACUGGCCCCUCAAAGGAGCACCUCUGUAACUGCCCUAUCCUCGAGGCCUCUUGGCCUCCCUCUCCUCUCGCUCCCUAUGGCAAACUGUCUCAAUCUCAAGAGCAAUAUCAACUACCUCCUCGAAUGUAGCACCCAAUACUCUCUCUCUCUAGUCAUCAGAAUAUGGAGAUGGUAAUUAAGGCCAUCCACAAAUCUCCCGAUCCUCUCACAAUCUAACGAAAUCUUUCAAAUGGCAUGACGAGCCAACUCAAAAAACCGCAUCUCAUACUGGGUCACAAUCAUAUCCCCAUGCGUCAAUCACUCAAACUUCCUACAUAGCUCCUCUCUGCGGGAAUGCGAUACAUACUUCUCAAGGAAGAGAGCGGAGAAUUGCUGCCAAGAA